rnacentral:tRNA from 1 species
GGGACAUUAGCUCAGUUGGUAGAGCACUUGACUUUUAAUCAAGUUGUCCGGGGUUCGAAUCCCCGAUGUCUCA